UGUGUUACGCCGGAUGAACGGAAAUCAUUGAUGUUGAUUAUUAUGAAAUUAUAAAUUUUUAACACUA
rnacentral:tRNA from 1 species